GUGAAUCAUCGAAUCUUUGAACGCAAAUUGCGCCUUUUUCGGAAGGCAUGUCUGUUUGAGGGCACCAUUUAACAAAUAAUGUGCAUUUCGUGUGCACACGUUGAUGAGCUUUCCAAGAAUUUUAAAUUUUUGGUGGCGCAUAAUGAACAGCGUGAAAGUUUUUUUCAGUUCGAGUAUAGUAAAAUUUUUUCUUGCUUGGGUUGUGAAAAGCGUGAUCGCGCAAUGGGUGUGGCAAUUUUAGUUAAUCCCUGCCCCAACGCCACUCUUUCUCGCGAAAGAUUUAAUCUUCAGGGCCUCAAAU
rnacentral:misc_RNA from 1 species